rnacentral:rRNA from 1 species
GAUGAACGCUGGCGGCGUGCCUAAUACAUGCAAGUCGAGCGAACGGACGAUAAUCUUGCUUCUCUGAUGUUAGCGGCGGACGUGUGAGUAACACGUGUAUAACCUACCUAUAAUACUGGGAUAACUUCGGGAAACCGUAGCUUAUACCGUAUAAUCUUUUGAACCGCAUUGUUCAAUAGUGAAAUACGGUCUUGCUGUCACUUAUCGAUGGAUCCGCGCUUCAUUAGCUAGUUGGUAAGUUAACGGCUUACCAAGGCAACGAUGCAUAGACGACCUGAGAGGGGGAUAGGCGACAUUGGAAGGGGGCCACGGUCAAGAGGACUAAGGGAGGCAGCAGAAGGGAAUCUUACGCAAUAGGCGAAAGCAUGACGGAAUAAGGGGGAGUGAGUGAUGGAGGUCUUCGGAUCGUAAAAAUCUGUUAUUAGGGAAGAACAUAUGUGUAAGUAACUGAGCACAUAUUGACGGUAACUAAUAAGAAAGCAACGGCUAACUACGUG